GUAGGUUCAUUAAUUUUGACCCUGCACAGUCUGAUAUCAGUUUCAGAUCCUACACAAGGGUGUGGGUUCAUUUAUCUUGACCCCGCACAGUCUGAUAUCAGUUUCAGAUCCUACACACGAGUGUGGGUUCAUUAAUUUGAACCCUUACAGUCUGUUAUCAGUUUCAGAUCCUACACAAGAGUGUGGGUUCAUUAAUUUGACCCCGCACAGUCUUUUAUCAGUUUCAGAUCCUACACAAGGGUGUGGGUUCAUUAAUUUGAACCCGUACAGUCUGUUAUCAGUUUCAGAUCCUACACAAGGGUGUGGGUUCAUUAAUUUGAACCCGUACAGUCUGUUAUCAGUUUCAGAUCCUACACAAGGGUGUGGGUUCAUUAAUUUGAACCCGUACAGUCUGUUAUCAGUUUCAGAUCCUACACAAGGGUGUGGGUUCAUUAAUUUGAACCCGUACAGUCUGUUAUCAGUUUCAGAUCCUACACAAGGGUGUGGGUUCAUUAAUUUGAACCCGUACAGUCUGUUAUCAGUUUCAGAUCCUACACAAGGGUGUUGGUUCAUUAAUUUGAACCAGUACAGUCUGUUAUCAGUUUCAGAUCCUACACAAGGGUGUGGGUUCAUUAAUUUUAACCCCGCACAGUCUGUUAUCAGUUUCAGAUCCUACACAAGGGUGUGGGUUCAUUAAUUUUGACCCCGCACAGUCUGUUAUCAGUUUCAGAUCAUACACAAGGGUGUGGGUUCAUUAAUUAUGAACCCACACAGUCUGCUAUCCGUUUCAGAUCCUACACAAGGGUGUGGGUUCAUUAAUUUUAACCCGCACAGUCUGUUAUCAGUUUCAGAUCCUACACAAGAGUGUGGGUUCAUUAAUUUUGACCCCGCACAGUCUGUUAUCAGUUUCAGAUCCUACACAAGGGUGUGGGUUCAUUAAUUUUAACCCCGCACAGUCUAUCAGUUUCAGAUCCUACACAAGGGUGUGGGUUCAUUAAUUUUGACCCCGCACAGUCUGUUAUCAGUUUCAGAUCAUACACAAGGGUGUGGGUUCAUUAAUUUGAAUCAGUACAGUCUGUUAUCAGUUUCAGAUCCUACACAAGGGUGUGGGUUCAUUAAUUUGAACCCGUACAGUCUGUUAUCAGUUUCAGAUCCUACACAAGGGUGUGGGUUCAUUAAUUUUAAUCCCGCACAGUCUGUUAUCAGUUUCAGAUCCUACACAAGGGUGUGGGUUCAUUAAUUUUAACCCCGCACAGUCUGCUAUCAGUUUCAGAUCCUACACAAGGGUGUUGGUUCAUUAAUUUGAACCCGUACAGUCUGUUAUCAGUUUCAGAUCCUUCACAAGGGCGUGGGUUCAUUAAUUUGAACCCGUACAGUCUGCUAUCAGUUUCAGAUCAUACACAAGGGUGUUGGUUCAUUAAUUUGAACCCGUACAGUCUGUUAUCAGUUUCAGAUCCUACACAAGGGUGUGGGUUCAUUAAUUUGAACCAGUACAGUUUGUUAUCAGUUUCAGAUCCUACACAAGGGUGUGGGUUCAUUAAUUUGAACCAGUACAGUCUGUUAUCAGUUUUAGAUCCUACACAAGGGUGUGGGUUCAUUAAUUAUGAACCCGCACAGUCUACUAUCCGUUUCAGAUCCUACACAAGGGUGUGGGUUCAUUAGUUAGGAACCCGCACAGUCUGCUAUCCGUUUCAGAUCCUACACAAGGGUGUGGGUUCAUUAAUUAUGAACCCGCACAGUCUGCUAUCAGUUUCAGAUCCUACACAAGGGUGUGGGUUCAUUAAUUAUGAACCCACACAGUCUGCUAUCAGUUUCAGAUCAUACACAAGGGUGUUGGUUCAUUAAUUUGAACCCGUACAGUCUGCUAUCGGUUUCAGAUCAUACACAAGGGUGUUGGUUCAUUAAUUUGAACCCGUACAGUCUGCUAUCGGUUUCAGAUCAUACACAAGGGUGUGGGUUCAUUAAUUAUGAACCCGCACAGUCUGCUAUCAGUUUCAGAUCAUACACAAGGGUGUGGGUUCAUUAAUUCUGUGGACUCCGCGAUUUUGUCCCCGAUGUCUUUUUUUCUGUUACUGAUCCAACAAGACGCUAUCACCCCGUCCAUUACCGGGCUAAUGACACCUUUUUUUUUAAAUCUGUCACAGAUCGUACAUGACAAGGUCGUGGACACCCUGAAGCUGUAUCCCCAUCCCCACGGCUCACAUCUCAGGCGUUCACUCAAGGACAUCGCCCAAGGCGUUCUCGGCCGAAGUAUUCAGACAGGAGAGGGCCACGACAGUCAUGAAGACGCCGAAGUGGCCAUGCAGCUCGUUCUGCGCAAACUGUAAUCUGUUUGGCAAGAACAUGUAACAUGUGUACAAGUCUAUGUACAUAUGUCCAGUGUAGGAGGUGACCUAAUGUUCGACUGAUACCGACUUGCUACAAGGCGUUUAAUUAAAUUCUUCACGGAAACGAGUUCCUGUAUUAUAAACGUAUAUUUACAUAUCGAGUUAUUUAAGUUCUAAAUUACUUUAGAUCCUCCAUUUGUAUUUCAUUCACUGUGAUAGGGACCUUAUAGAAGACAAUGUGUGGACAGUGGUGCAUUUGUGUGUGAAUGUGUGAUAGGUCUUCACAAUUAUGUUACGUUUUAAAUUAGAGUUGAUUCUGUUCUCAUUGUUAUUGUGUUUGUGUAAUAUAGUUGGCUGUUUGUGAUUAUCAUUAAACAUUUUUAUCUGGA